UACGGAGGGGACUAGCGUUGUUCGGAAUUACUGGGCGUAAAGCGCACGUAGGCGGAUUUGUUAGUCAGGGGUGAAAUCCCGAGGCUCAACCUCGGAACUGCCUUUGAUACUGCAAAUCUCGAGUCCGAGAGAGGUGAGUGGAACUGCGAGUGUAGAGGUGAAAUUCGUAGAUAUUCGCAAGAACACCAGUGGCGAAGGCGGCUCACUGGCUCGGUACUGACGCUGAGGUGCGAAAGCGUGGGGAGCAAACAGG
rnacentral:rRNA from 1 species